UGGGAUGUAAAUGAUUCUUGUAAAUUCAUUUUUUGUACUCCUCACCCGUUUUCUCAAAAAAUUGGCUAAAAAGUCUGACUUGAUAGGUAAUAGAAAUUGGAAAAAUGUAUUAUACUCAAAAACUACUAAUUUAGUUACACAAUUUUUUCACAGAGUUAAGUUGGAUUACGAUAUUUCUAAAAUUCAUUGCUAUUUUCCACUUGUA
rnacentral:lncRNA from 1 species